rnacentral:rRNA from 1 species
AUUGAACGCUGGCGGCAUGCCUAACACAUGCAAGUCGAACGGCAGCAUGGUCUAGCUUGCUAGACUGAUGGCGAGUGGCGAACGGGUGAGUAACGCGUAGGAAUAUACCUUAAAGUGGGGGAUAACAUGGGGAAACUCAUGCUAAUACCGCAUAAUGUCUAAGGAAGAAAGCUGGGGACCUUCGGGCCUGGCGCUUUAAGAUUAGCCUGCGUACGACUAGCUAGUUGGUAGGGUAAAGGCCUACCAAGGCGACGAUCGUUAGCUGGUCUGAGAGGAUGGCCAGCCACACUGGAACUGAGACACGGUCCAGACUCCUACGGGAGGCAGCAGUGGGGAAUAUUGGACAAUGGGGGCAACCCUGAUCCAGCAAUGCCGCGUGUGUGAAGAAGGCCUGAGGGUUGUAAAGCACUUUUAUCCGGAAAGAAAGACUUCGGGCUAAUACCCGGGGUCCUGACGGUACCGGAAGAAUAAGCACCGGCUAACUUCGUGCCAGCCGCCGCCGU